GACGAACGCUGGCGGCGUGCUUUACACAUGCAAGUCGAACGGAAAGGCCCUGCUUUUGUGGGGUGCUCGAGUGGCGAACGGGUGAGUAACACGUGAGUAACCUGCCCUUUACUUUUGGAUAACUUCAGGAAACUGGGGCUAAUACCGGAUAGGAGCUCCUGCUGCAUGGUUGGGGUUGGAAAGUUUCGGCGGUUGGGGAUGGACUCGCGGCUUAUCAGCUUGUUGGUGGGGUAGUGGCUUACCAAGGCUUUGACGGGUAGCCGGCCUGAGAGGGUGACCGGCCACAUUGGGACUGAGAUACGGCCCAGACUCCUACGGGAGGCAGCAGUGGGGAAUAUUGCACAAUGGGCGGAAGCCUGAUGCAGCAACGCCGCGUGCGGGAUGACGGCCUUCGGGUUGUAAACCGCUUUCGCCUGUGACGAAGCGUGAGUGACGGUAAUGGGUAAAGAAGCACCGGCUAACUACGUG
rnacentral:rRNA from 1 species